rnacentral:rRNA from 1 species
UACAGAAGCCGGGAGAGAUCCUGGUGUGCCUUCGGGAACUGUAAGACAGGUGCUGCAUGGCUGUCGUCAGCUCGUGUUGUGAAAUGUUGGGUUAAGUCCCGUAACGAGCGCAACCCUUGUCCCUAUUUGCCAGCACGUAAUGGUGGGAACUCUAGGGAGACUGCCGGUGACAAACCGGAGGAAGGUGGGGACGACGUCAAGUCAUCAUGGCCCUUACGGGUAGGGCUACACACGUGCUACAAUGGCCGGUACAAAGGGUUGCCAACUCGCGAGAGUGCGCCAAUCCCGAAAAGCCGGUCUCAGUCCGGAUCGGAGUCUGCAACUCGACUCCGUGAAGUCGGAAUCGCUAGUAAUCGUGAAUCAGAAUGUCACGGUGAAUACGUUCCCGGGCCUUGUACAC